rnacentral:lncRNA from 1 species
AAUAUAAUAUAAGAAGCUUUAUUGUAGAAAUGAAAUAGCUUUAGCUUGAAUACAUUAACAUGUUCCUAUCAUAUUUAUAGGAUUAAGAGGGAGGAUUUUCCUCAACAGAAUAGAGGAUUUUCCUCACAGAAUAGAUAAGAUUUCCUCAUAUAGUGGGGAAAUCUUAUCUUCUAUCAUGCCCCCGCAAGAUGGUGCUCCUGACAAGGAUACCAAUCUUGGAUCGGUAAGAAAGAGACUUCGUGAGUAAGAUAAGUGUAGAUCGCUA